rnacentral:pre_miRNA from 1 species
AUAUGAAUAGCAUGGGAAUCUCAUUAAAAUUCUGACUUAGUAAGAUCUGGGGUGGAGUCCAAGAUUCUGAAUUUCUAACAAGAUCUCAGGUGAUGCCAAU